rnacentral:rRNA from 1 species
AACGAACGCUGGCGGCAGGCUUAACACAUGCAAGUCGAACGCACCGCAAGGUGAGUGGCAGACGGGUGAGUAACGCGUGGGAACGUGCCCUUCAGUUCGGAAUAACCCAGGGAAACUUGGGCUAAUACCGGAUACGUGCGAGAGCAGAAAGAUUUAUCGCUGAAGGAUCGGCCCGCGUCUGAUUAGCUAGUUGGUGGGGUAAGUGGCCCACCAACGGACGACGAUCAGUAGCNGGUCUGAGAGGA